rnacentral:rRNA from 1 species
GAUGAACGCUGGCGGCGUGCCUAAUACAUGCAAGUCGAGCGAACAGACGAGGGGCUGGCUCCUUUGACGUUAGCGGCGGACGGGUGAGUAACACGUGGGUAACCUACCGAUAAGGGUGGGAUAACUUCGGGAAACCGGAGCUAAUACCGUAUAAGAAUUCGAACCGCAUGGUUCGAUAGUGAAAUAUGGCUUUGCUAUCACUUGUAGAUGGACCUUCGCCGUAUUAGGUAGUUGGUAAGGUAACGGCUUACCAAGACAACAAACAGUAGCCGCCCUGAGAGGGUGACCGGCACAACUGGACUUGGGAAACGGUCCAGCCUCCUAGGGGAGGCAGAAGUAGGGAAUCUCCCGAAAUGGGCGAAAGCUUGACGGAGAAACGCCGCGUGAGUGAUGAAGGUCUUCGGAUCGAAAACCUCUGUUAUUAGGGAAGAACAAACGUGUAAGUAAAUGUGCACGUCUUGACGGUACCUAACCAGAAAGCCACGGCUAACUACGUG